rnacentral:ncRNA from 1 species
GACUUGCCCCAAAAGGGGGUGCUGUUCAUGCUACAACAAAUCUUCACAUUGAUUGUCGCACCACUACUUGUUGGGCUAGUUCUCGAACUAGUUUCUCAUUGGUUAGAGGAGAAAGACGACAAUUAGCAAGUUGUCAUUAACCCACACGUUCGUAGUCGCAGCGAA